AACCAAAAAUAGAUACAGAUCGAUACACACAAAACGGCGGAAGGAAUAAGGAUGGCGACUUCAAGCAAAGAAAAUAGUCAACGGCAAGUUCCAGAAGCUUCUAGAAUCUCCGAACUGAACUGCAUCGAUCUUUCGAACCCUAAUACUCAAUCCUCUGUUUCCAUUAUUCACAAGGCUUGCUUGGAUUCUGGAUUCUUCUAUGUAAUCAAUCACGGAAUCGGCGAGGAAUUCAUGGACGAGGUUUUCGAUCAAAGCAAACGCUUCUUCGAUUUGCCCGUUGAGGAGAAAAUGAAGCUUCUAAGGAACGAGAAAAAUCGAGGCUUUACUCCUCUUUUCGACGAAUCUUUGGAUUCUGUCAAUCAAAUUAAUGGGGACUAUAAGGAGGGUUACUACAUUGGUAUUGAAUUACCCGAAGAUGAUUCCGAUGCCGAGAAACCGUUCUAUGGUCCGAAUUUAUGGCCAUCUGUAGAUAUCCUGCCUAAAUGGAGGGAAACGAUGGAGAAAUAUCAUCACGAGGCACUAGAGGUAGCAAGAGCGGUUUCGCGAUUGAUAGCACUUGCACUUGACCUAAAUUCAGAUUUUUUCGAUCAACCUGAAAUGCUCGGAAAGCCUAUUGCAACAUUAAGGCUGCUACACUAUCAAGAUCGAGCUUCUGAGCCAGAUAAAGGAAUAUAUGGAGCUGGUGCACAUUCGGAUUUUGGUUUAAUUACGCUUUUAGCCACGGAUGAUAACUAUGGUCUUCAGAUAUGUAGAGAUAAAGAUGCUAAUCCUCAGAUAUGGGAAUAUGUACCACCACUUAAAGGGGCGUUCGUAGUUAAUCUUGGUGAUAUGCUGGAGCGUUGGAGCAACUUGCGUUUUCAGAUCUACGCUGCAUCGAGUACUGGGGAACGGUCAAGAAAGAUACUCUAUAGCGUACUUUGUCGAGCCUAAUCACGACUGCAUUGUCGAAUGCCUACCCACUUGCCAAUCGGAGACGAAUCCUCCAAAGUUCAGUCCAAUAAAAUCCCAAGACUACUUGCUUCAGAGGUAUAAAGACACUCAUGCCGACCUCAACUCUUAUAAAUGAUUGAACAACAUUAUCCGAACAAAGACAACUCAAAUUUUACGGUGAUCGAAUCUUUCUUAUCUCUUUACACAAUCGAUAUAUGUCUUCAUGUACUCGUAAAAGGAGUUUAUCCGAUCUUACAUUGUACAGACCGUGUAAAAUUUACUACAGGUUUCAUUGAUAAAUAAAAUAACAUUCAUAACA